CUGCAUCCACUGAUAGACCUUGAACAAUCUGCUGUUGUUCUUUUGGUUUGCACUAGGAUGCCAAAGAAAACUCCCUGCGCUUUCUGUCUGCCUUUGUGGCAGCCCAGAUUGAAUAGGGGAAGACAUCC
ensembl:snoRNA SNORA31 small nucleolar RNA, H/ACA box 31